rnacentral:rRNA from 1 species
UACAGAGGUGGCGAGCGUUGUUCGGAUUUACUGGGCGUAAAGGGCGCGUAGGCGGCCCCGUGUGUCGCGUGUGAAAGCCCCCGGGCUCAACCCGGGAAGUGCGCGCGAAACUGCGGGGCUCGAGCGGAGGAAGGGAGAGCGGAAUUCAUGGUGUAGCGGUGAAAUGCGUUGAUAUCAUGAGGAACACCGGUGGCGAAGGCGGCUCUCUGGAAUCCUGCUGACGCUGAGGCGCGAAAGCCGGGGGAGCAAACAGGAUUAGAUACCCGGGUAGUCCCU